GUGCCAGGAAGGGAAAUUCAUCAAGUUGAAACUGUGACCUGUUACAUAGAUGUGUCCAUAAAAAUCAUAGAGGGCUAUGCUUUGCAAACUUAAUACUCAUUACUACAUUGGAUGACACUGGAAUUGAGGAUGGACUGUUGGCUGUUUCAGCAAUAUCAAAUAUUUCGUGUCUGCUACCUACAACCCAUGUGGAAUGUCUCCCACCUUAACCUACUUAAUCUGGGUCCUUAGUCUGGGUUUCAUUAACAAAAGAUCACUGUACUCAAAAUUUUGAUUAAUGAUCUAAUUAUGGAUCAUCACUUAGAUAUGAUUGGGUUAUGUGAAACCUGGCUUAAACCUACAGCUGUCUUCCCUUUAAGUGAGGCCUGCACACUGGCAUACACAUUUAGUCAUGUCCCUCAUGAUGCAAAGUAAGGCGGGGCCCACCUAGCUGAGCU